CACGCGUGAUGAACUUCUUGACGGGCGGACAGAGACUCUGUGCUGAUUGUCAGGUUCUGAUUUG